GUGCUCACUUUGGCAGCACAUAUAGGCAGCACAUAUACUAAAACUGGAAUGAUACAGAGAUGAGCAGCAUGGCCCCUGUGCAAGGAUAACACGCAAAUUCGUGAAAUGUUCCAUAUUUUU
ensembl:snRNA U6 U6 spliceosomal RNA